rnacentral:rRNA from 1 species
CCUACGUGCGGCAGCAGUGAGGAAUAUUGGUCAAUGGACGAAAGUCUGAACCAGCCAAGUAGCGUGAAGGAUGACGGCUCUAUGGGUUGUCAACUUCUUUUCUAAAGGACUAAACCUAGGCACGUGUGCCUUUUUGCAUGUACUUUAUGAAUAAGGAUCGGCUAACUCCGUGCCAGCAGCCGCGGUAAUACGGAGGAUCCGAGCGUUAUCCGGAUUUAUUGGGUUUAAAGGGAGCGUAGAUGGGUUGUUAAGUUAGUUGUGAAAGUUUGCGGCUCAACCGUGAAAUUGCAAUUGAUACUGGCAGGAUAGAGUACAGUUGAGGUAAGCGGAAUGCGUGGUGUAGCGGUGAAAUGCUUAGAGAUCACGAAGAACACCGAUUGCGAAGGCAGCUUACUAAACUGUGACUGACAUUGAGGCACGAAAGUGUGGGUAGCAAACAGGAUUAGAUACCCUGGUAGUC